rnacentral:misc_RNA from 1 species
GAUGAAGAACGUAGCGAAAUGCGAUAAUUAAUGUGAAUUGCAGAAUUCAGUGAAUCAUCGAGUCUUUGAACGCACAUUGCGCCCCCUGGUAUUCCGGGGGGCAUGCCUGUCCGAGCGUCAUUGCUGCCCUCAAGCCCGGCUUGUGUGUUGGGCCUUGCUCCCCCGGGGGCAGGCCCGAAAGGCAGUGGCGGCACCGCGUCCGAUCCUCGAGCGUAUGGGGCUUUGUCACCCGCUCUGCAGGCCCGGCCGGCGCUUGCCGACCCCAAUCAAUCUUUUUUCAGGUUGACCUCGGAUCAGGUAGGGAUACCCGCUGAACUUAAGCAUAUCAAUAAGCGGAGGA